CCUACGGGAGGCAGCAGUGGGGAAUUUUGGACAAUGGGCGAAAGCCUGAUCCAGCAAUGCCGCGUGAGUGAAGAAGGCCUUCGGGUUGUAAAGCUCUUUUGUCAGGGAAGAAACGGUGAGAGCUAAUAUCUCUUGCUAAUGACGGUACCUGAAGAAUAAGCACCGGCUAACUACGUGCCAGCAGCCGCGGUAAUACGUAGGGUGCAAGCGUUAAUCGGAAUUACUGGGCGUAAAGCGUGCGCAGGCGGUUUUGUAAGUCUGAUGUGAAAUCCCCGGGCUCAACCUGGGAAUUGCAUUGGAGACUGCAAGGCUAGAAUCUGGCAGAGGGGGGUAGAAUUCCACGUGUAGCAGUGAAAUGCGUAGAUAUGUGGAGGAACACCGAUGGCGAAGGCAGCCCCCUGGGUCAAGAUUGACGCUCAUGCACGAAAGCGUGGGGAGCAAACAGGAUUAGAUACCCUGGUAGUCCACGCCCUAAACGAUGUCUACUAGUUGUCGGGUCUUAAUUGACUUGGUAACGCGAGCGUACGCGUGAGUAGACCGCCGUGGGUAGGUUACGGUUCGUCGAGAAGUUAAACGUUAACGAAGGAAGUUAGACGGCGUUGAGACGUUGCCGACGGACGACCGACCGAGGGGAGGUUAGGGAGG
rnacentral:rRNA from 1 species